UUUUUAGAUGUUUAUAACGUAAAUACUCUUGAUUUUUUUGUUAUUUUUCUGCUGCAUGUAAAUUAUUUGUUCUUAGAGAAAACUCUUGUAAAUGUCUCUCAAUUCACUUCAGGGAAAAGAUGGUGACAGGACAGCUGUUUAUGAAGUUGCAUAUGAGGGGUAGGCAGCUUCCAGCACACUAUCAAAUUUGCAGCAAGACUUGGACAAAGGUUCCCUGAAGUUUAUAGAUAUUUAGUCAGCCAGCCACAUAUCCAGUCAGCCAGCCGCAUAUCCAGUCAGCCACCUCUCCAGUUGUGUACACAGCCACCAGUGCAGUGAGCCACCUCUCCAGUAGUGUACACAGCCACCACUGCAGUGAGCCACCUCUCCAGUAGUGUACACAGCCACCACUGUAGUGAGCCACCUCUCCAGUAGUGUACACAGCCACCACUGCAGUGAGCCACCUCUCCAGUAGUGUACACAGCCACCACUGCAGUGAGCCACCUCUCCAGUAGUGUACACAGCCACCACUGCAUCAAAUGUAGACAGUGAGUCCGGCAUUAAGUCAGUCAUCAAUCGAUCAGUCCAGUAGCCUACCAGUCAAAUCUGCUAUCAACUAAUCAAAUGUACACAUGGACUUGGCCAUCAGUCAGCCACUAGUCACCAGUCAUCAGUCCAGUAACUAGUCACCAGUCCAGUUACCAGUCAUCAGUCCAGUUACUAGUCACCAG